UCCUACUAAAAAGAAACCUCACCCAGAAUGCAAGUCAUCAAAAUUCAAAUACAAGAUGCACAAACAAGAAAGCCAGAUUCUGCAAUAACUGACAGAACAACUCUCUGGUGUCAUAAAGUGCAACUAAUCAGUAACCACUCCUAUAAAAUUUAAUAGCAAAUACUUCACAAGUAGUUGCUGUUUUUCCAGGUAGAAAUAAUAGCAAAUACUUCACAAGUACUUGCUGUUUUUCCAGGUAGAAAUAAUUUUGAUUGAAUUCAUAUCAUGAUGCAUAAGGCUUAAUAUUCGAAGUCAAAAGAUAAAAGUACUUGCUGUAUAAUAAUGGUUUUAACAGCUCUGAACCCCUCAAAAACCUAGAC
rnacentral:lncRNA from 1 species